rnacentral:tRNA from 1 species
UCCCUUAUAGCUCAGUGGUAGAGUACUUGACUUUUUAUCAAGAGGUCACAGGUUCAAAUCCUGUUAAGGGAG